UAUAAAUCCAUUGAAAUUUAAAAGUCAAAAUAUGUAUAAAAUCUAACACAUUUAAAUUAUCGCAACAAUAUCAUUAGAACAUCAUAUGAAAUAACUACAAUAUUAUCAAAACAUAGUCUAUGAUCAAUUAUCACAAUAACAUCAUCACAAUAUUAUCAUUUGGAUCAGUACCAGUCUACAAUAAUAUCAUAACACUAUCUUCUAAAUCACUACCAGUUUGAUCAAAAUCUUAGUUUUACAACAAAACAACGUCAUUUUCCAAUAAAAAGGAAUUUGAAAUUCCAUAGAGACUCUAUUAAAUUCACUACCAAUAAGAAAUUCAUAAUACUACCAUAAUAUCAGCAAUAAUUCGAAAUUCAUAAAACUAGAUAUCAUCAACUCUACUGCUCGUACUAUUAGUUCAGACACAAAGAAAGCUUAUUCAAGACUAGGGAUGGCAAUGGGCACCAUCUGUAGCGGGUUUAUUAUUACCAAACCUAUAUCCGCACAAAAUUUUUCAAUCAUCAAACCCAUCCGCAACCCCGUUGCGGGUUUUAAUUUAAAAAAAAAAAACCACCCAUUGCGGGUUUUGACAAUCACCAAAACCGCAAUGGUAUCCAAUAGAUUUUUUGUGGGUUUUUCACAUUUAAAAUCUCAAAAUUCAUUAUUUAAAUUUAUAAUAAUAACCUAAAAUUUCACAUGAUGUACUCAAUUCUAAAUUUAACUAAUAUAAAUGUAAAAUUAAAAUUUCAAUAUCAAUCCAACACAAUUUUCAAUUUUAAGUAUAAAAUAGACAAAUCCAUAAAAACAAGUCACAUACUAGUAUCUAAACAUAACAAUUAUCAUUUCAUAUUAUCAUUCAAUAUAACCUCCAAGAGGUCUUCAUUUCAUUCACCACUACUAGCACCCAUCCAACACAGUUCCUACAAUAAUGAUUAAAAUUAAAAUUUUCUAAAGAAUAAUACUUUUUAGAUACUAAUCCGAAAAAAAAUUAUAACAAUGAAAUAAUCCAUGUAUUAAAUUAAACAUAACAAUUAUCAUUUCAUAUUAUCAUUCAACAUAACCUCCAAGAGGUCUUCAUUUCAUUCACCACUAUUAGCACCCAUCCAACACAGUUCCUACAAUAAUGAUUAAAAUUAAUAUUUUGUAAAGAAUAAUACUUUUUAGAUACUAAUCCCAAAAAAAAAUUAUAACAAUGAAAUAAUUCAUGUAUUAAGUUAAAGAAAAUUCAAUCAAAAUUAUAAUAAGUAUAUAAGUAUAUUUUAGAUUUAAAUAUUUUUCAAUUAAAAUUAAAUUAAAAAAUAAUUAAAAAAGUUGUGGGUUGGCGAAUACCUGUCAGAUAUUUGACUAAUACUAAACCCAUCUGCAACCUAGUGUGGGUUUCAAUUUAUAAUUCCAAACCUGCUCACAACCCACAAAAUUACCUGCGACGAAUGGGUUUUGACAGACUGGUUUGGGCGAGUUUGUGGGUUUAUGGGUACCAUUACCAUCCCUGCUCGAGACGAACUUCAUCAAGCUCACUUUUAGAGUAAUCACAUUUCCCUUUAAAUUGUCAAAUGAUAAUCACAUGUUAAACUAAAGUAAACUAUAUAUAAUUAAAGCACUAAGCGAAGUAAUCCUAAAAUGUAUCUGACAAAAUGUGUACUUACAUCAUGGAGAAAUAAACUCGGGUCUGCAAUUAUAUUUUUGAUAAACCUCAGCACAUGGUAUCCACAUGUAGUACAUCCCAGUUGAUUUGGAGAGUAUAUCAUCAAUAGAAUAAUCAUUACUAUAUAUGCAUAAGAAUUCUUUUAAGUGAUUAAGUAUUAACAAGUCGUGAUUGUUUACCAAAACUUUUGUGAUCUACGAUUUCACCCCCUUUUUUAACUUGUUGUCGCAACAUGCAUUGAAAUCCCAUUGUAUUACAAUACAUGCAAUUAGUAAAUAAACAUGGUAUAUAAAAUGAUAUUAGAAAUACAAUAUCAACAUACUUGAUAACUUUGUUCCUAAGGUCACUAUCAUCAUCUAAAUUACUGUUCGUAGAAUCCAAAUAAAAUGUUUGCUUUGUCAUUGUAUCAAUUACAAUCAACACUCAAUGGAAUGGAAACUAUUACACAAAAGAAAUUGAAAUUACAAUUCAAUUUUAUUAAAUUAUCAUCAAUAGAAAGUAAGGAGAACUAUACCCAGGGUUAUAUGGCAUGAAAAUUAUUUCCAGUUUGUUUGCUUUGUUCAACCAUUCAGCAAUAAAUUGUGCCCUUUUUACCCUUCUAACAAAAGCAUCCUAAUCAUGCGCUGAUGAUAUAAGUCUUGUGUGUAUGCACCCAAAUGGUCUGGCCACUAUAUGUGCAUGCAACAUCUUGAUGUAAUUAAUAUAAUAAAACAGUAACAAUGUUGCCAACAAAUAAAACCAUAAAAAAAUCACAGAAGGGAAGCAAGAAUUAUUUAAAAGUCAAGAUAACAACAUUUACUAUAAUUUUGUAGACUUACGCGAUAUAUAGAUGCAUAUGAUUUACACCUAGCUAUUCCUUGGAAAUCAAUGAUUGACAAUUAUCGAGACUAAUAUAUGCUUUAGUUGGAUGCUUAUAUACCUCUUCAUCCAACUGAUAAAGUAGAUAACUACCCAUUUUAGGCAAUUUUUUUUUCACAAAGAUUACCAAACAUUACAAGCCUAGGAACCUGGUUCAUAUGCACAACAUGAUAAUUUCUUGUUCUUUGUUUUAGCAAUGGUUCACUAGCAAUAUCUUUCAUAUUUGGUUUUUGCAGUGACUUCUUUUGAGGUGUCUUUUUUUUAUGAUUUCUUCUUUUUUGGAUUGCUUGGUUUCUCUCUUGGAAAAUUAAGAAUAAUUCUUGGUUUCUCUUGAGACUUCUUUGGUGAUUCUUUCUUCUUUCUUGGUGAUUGUCUUUUCUUUAGAUUGCUUAUUUUGUCUCUAGGACAAUCAACACUCACUUUGAGUAUAUGUUUAGUGUUUCAUGCUUCUUCUUUAUGGGUGAUCCAUUCUUUUCAUGCCGAAGAUUAUAAGUAGGUCCUAAUUUAGGCUAAAAUUGUCUAAAAUCAACCAUCUAAGUCAUUUUUAAUAACUUGAAUGCGCCCAACGAUCUGUAUCAUACCUUGUCCUCAUUACGACAAGUAUUUCUUCAUCUUUUUCUUCAAUUGUUUGCUCAUCUGAAUUGCUUUUUAAUCUCCUUUUUAAUAUCACUAAACUCUGCUCUUACUUAUCUAACCUUUCUAUUAUAUUCAGUCUCUCUUGUCGAGUCAGAAAUGAAUUGUUUGGGUGUCAAAGUACAUCUUAUGCGAUAUAAAUAUUCCAACACCCUGCAUAUGUCCAGAGUUGCAAGCCUUCCAAUUAAAUGUGCAGGAAUGUCAGGUAUUGCAUUAGCCUUAAAUUCUCCUCUUUUAGCUUUCUCUUCUAGUGCAUCCUAAAAGUACAAUAAUCAUAAUAAUUAAUGUCAAACUCUUUCUAAUAGAAACCAAUUGAAAGAAGACUUGCAAGUACUUACAAUCUUCUUCACUAGUGAUUCAACAUUAGGGUGAUAUUCGCCCAUUUUCAUAUUUUGAGCACGCUUACAUGCUAUACUCCAGUCAACAUCAGUUUUGGCAAGUCCAAUUUUCGAGCAUUGUAGUCUAAGAAAAUAAUAAUAUUAGAACUGGUCAUGCAAAUAACAAAACUUUUUAAACCAACCAUGAAUUCUAAGCUCUAAAUUAAUUCUAAAGGGUUACCAGUUUAUCAUCAUCAAACCAACCAUCUCUAUACCAAUAGCUACGCAAGAAUGGUCAAGUUAGUAUCAUAUUACUUACAAUUUCAUCAAGCAAUCCAAUAUAUCAUUUUCUACUUAAGAUGAUUCCACUUGUUCUUAACUCUUUUAUUUUGCUAUUGACCUCUAAGCCUCUACAUAAAAUAGUCCCCAAUUAGAUUUAAAAAAUAGCAUAUAAGAGGCUUUAGUCUUUAAUAUUUUAAAGUAUUUACCCAACUCAACAUAAAGUCUACAAUUCAUAAAUUCAUCCCAAACCUUUUGAGGAAUGUGGUUGUGCUGAAAAGAUGGCCUUUUUAGCCUUUUACGAUUGUGCUUGUGUGGUAGGAUUUACUUUCUGGUGAGCAGUUACUUAAAGUUUCUAAAUACACUACCAAGUGCUUGAAAAACUUGCUUGUUACCCUUUGGAUGAAAUAAUAAAAUGUUCCUAAUAAAAAUAAAUAGCACAAUAAUCUAGUGAUGGCAAUGAAAUGAGUUCGGGGUGGGAUCAUGAUCCUCGAACCCGAACCCGAAUCCAAUUUUGAAUCAAUCCUCGAACUCGCCCCAUACCUAAACCUUUUUUAAUUGGGGAUAGUUCGAUAUGUCCCUGAACAUCCCUGAAUUGAGCGGGGAUUAAAAUAGGGGCCUGAUCCUCAUUUAAGUUUUUUCAAAAAAUUAAUAAUUCUUUAAUAUUUGUGUCCCCCCUUUUUUAAAAAAUAAUUAUAAAAAUCUAAAAAUAAAACUAUAAAUAAUCAAAAUUUUAACAACCUCCAAAUAAAUGACAACAUAAUAAUUAUAAGCCUUCAACAAAAUUAUAAAUGAUCAAAUUUUAAAAGACAAAUCAAAAUAAUGGUAUGCUUCAACAUAAACUUGUAAUAGCUUCUCAAUAACAAUCACCAUUGAUGCACAUUCUAAGAUUCUUCAUAAACAUAUAACAAGGUAAACAGAGAAAAUGAAAACAUGUUUUAACAAUUUUAACUUAACAAAUACUUAAUAGAAUAAUAUAAAUUAAAACUAUAUACCUCUACAGCCUUUGCAUCGGUUUCAAUCUCUAGUUCUUUAUCAAGAAUCUUAGCAUAUGCUGGAGAGGUAGAUGCCACAACUAAUUUAUAAAAAUACAAAUGAAAACCAAAACCAAAAUAGUUAUUAGUUAAUUUAAAUAAAUAAAAAUAAAAUAGUUAAAAUGAAAACCAUAUACCUCCACAAAGAGCACGUAUCCAACUUUGACUACAUAUCAAAGCCGUCAAUGUGCUUGGAAGAAGUCUAUUGUGAUAUGAGCUUACAAAUUGACCAUUAGCGCUGAAAGCUGAUUUAAAAGCAACUGUGGUAACUAGAAUUGUCAAAAUAUCUCUCGCAAUUGGAGACAAUAUAGGAUAGUUACUACCAUUCAUCUUCCACUAAAUUAAAACAUUAAAGUGCUGCUUAACAUUAAAUGGUACUAACUUUUCACCUAAAAAGUGUCUAGCUCAUCCUUUACUUUCUCAUUACCAGCAUUAAAACAACUAGUAAACCAUGAAAUCCAUUCAGUUGAACUCCCAUGGGAACCUGAACUUGGCAUAGAAUGAGAACCAUUGGAAGAAAUAUAACUAUACCUAGGAGAACGAGCAGCUGACGCAUAUCUAGCAUUGUACUCUUUCACUAUACUUUGACAAUCACCAUGCAUCAUUUGGACACGAGAUAUAGCAUCAUCCCCCUAAAUCAUGGAAUACUCAACCAACCAAUUUUGAACCUAGGAUCAAAGAUACAUGCUACUAAUAAUAUCCCACCGAUGUCAUAUCAAUAUUUAUCAAACUUUUCAAUUAUUCAUUGUGCUACAAUUCUAAAUUCAUCAUAUUUGGGAGUUGAAACCCACUCAUUUAGGCGCAUUCUAAUAUCACACAAAAGGCACAAAAUAGAUUGGAUGUUGGAUAAAUAGUACCAGAAAACAAUGUUGUAUAAUUAUAAAAACAUUUCAAAUCCUUUUCUAAGCCACUAUGUUCUUCAAUUGACCAAAAAACAUUCCUAUAAUGUAAUGCAGAACAUAUCAUGAGAUAUGUGGACUUUCUUCUAGUUGGACAAUCUUGUACUAGUUUUCUACCAUAAGUAAUGCCUAAUUUACGUGCAUUCUCAUCAAAUGUCAAUUUUCUUUUAGUUGAUCAUGACCAAAAAUAACACUCUCACAUGUGUUUGCAAUCAGAUCACCAAUCACACUUAAACCAUACUUUACAAUUAAAUUUAAAAUGUGGGCACAACAACGAACAUGAAACUUUUGCCCACCCAAGAUGGGCUCAUUUUUAGCGAGUGCCAACAACAUAAAAUCAAUAAUAUGAUCAUGAGAUAUGUGGACUUUCUUCUAGUUGGACAAUCUUGUACUAGUUUUCUACCAUAAGUAAUGCCUAAUUUACGUGCAUUCUCAUCAAAUGUCAAUUUUCUUUUAGUUGAUCAUGACCAAAAAUAACACUCUCACAUGUGUUUGCAAUCAGAUCACCAAUCACACUUAAACCAUACUUUACAAUCAAAUUUAAAAUGUGGGCACAACAACGAACAUGAAACUUUUGCCCACCCAAGAUGGGCUCAUUUUUAGCGAGUGCCAACAACAUAAAAUCAAUAAUAUGAUCAUUAGUAGCAACAUUGUCAAUAGUGAUGGAGGAUAACUUAUGCUCAAUGUCAAGCUCCAACAACGAACCCAUAAGCUUAUUAAAAAGCACUGACCCGUGUGAGAACCAGGCACUUCUAAAAAACUAAAAAAAGAAAUUAAUAGUGGAUUAAUAUAUUAAAAAAAUCAGAUUGGUUAUUAAUAAUUAAAAAAUAUUAAUUAGGUUAUGUUUCUGUAUUAACAAUAAAAAAUUAAUUUUUGAGUAAUUUGACUUUUUUCUUUUUAUUUUACAGCUAUCAAUAAUUUAAAAAGAAAAAAACAAAUCAAAGCUUAAACACAAUUUAUCUAUUUUACUUAAAAAGAGAGAAAUAAAGAAUAGUAACAGCAAGGUAUUAAAAAAUAAAUUAUUUGAGGCAUAAAAAUAUUUUACCUCAAAAGUAUGCUUCGUAAUGCCUAAGUCUGGUCAAUAAAAUGUGCAGUGAAUGCCAUAUAUGUUUUUGUUUGAUUUUUUGUAGCCCACAUAUCCAUUGUAAUGGCGAUUCUACCUUAAGUUUGCUCCAACACACUAAUACACUUGGCCAACAAAUCCAUUAGUUUAUUAAAAAGCACUGCCCGUGUGAGAACCAGGCACUUCUAAAAAACUAAAAAAAGAAAUUAAUAGUGGAUUAAUAUAUUAAAAAAAUCAGAUUGGUUAUUAAUAAUUAAAAAUAUUAAUUAGGUUAUGUUUCUGUAUUAACAAUAAACAAUUAAUUUUUGAG
rnacentral:lncRNA from 1 species